AUUGAACGCUGGCGGCAGGCCUAACACAUGCAAGUCGAGCGGAUGAAGGGAGCUUUCUCCUGGCUUCAGCUGCCGACGGGCGAGUAAUGCCUAGGAAUCUGCCUGGUAUUGGGGGAUAACGUCCGUAAACGGGCGCUAAUACCGCAUACGUCCUUAUGGUGAAAGUGAUGGAUCUUCGGACCUAACGCUAUCAGCUGAGCCUAGGUGGGAUUAGCUAGUUGGUUGGGUAAGGGCGUACCAAGGCGACGAUCCGUAACUGGCCUGAGAGGAUGAUCAGUCACACUGGAACUGAGACACGGUCCAGACUCCUACGGGAGGCAGCAGUAGGGAAUCUUGGGCAAUGGGCGAAAGCCUGAUCGAGCAACGCCGCGUGUGUGAAGAAGGUCUUCGGAUCGUAAAGCACUGUUAGUUGGGAGGAAGGUAAGUAAGUUAAUAUCUGGCUGUCUUGACGUUACCAACAGAAAAAGCAACGGCUAACUUCGUG
rnacentral:rRNA from 1 species